UGGUGAUGGUGCUACAAAAAAAACACCCAGUGCACUCAGUAAAGUGAUUAGCAUCAGAAAGGGCAUCCAACAAUAGAAACCAUGCCAAAACAGACAAUGGAACCUGAACAGCUCCUGUCAAACCAUCCAACCCAUGCCAGCAGGGAAAAUG